CUUAUUUCUCAUUCAAGACUCCUCUCUUCUCCUCUCUUUUGCGUUUUGCUAGCUAUUGAUUUCUUCCCUUCUCAACUCCAUUCAUUUUUUUUUCUCCAGCAACAACAAGAGCCUCUACCUCUAUUCCCCUUCGAUUUCUUACCCUCCUUUCUGCUAUCUUUUCCUUUCGUCACUAUCAAAUUCCUUUUCAUCAAUAGUCGCUCCCCCC
rnacentral:misc_RNA from 1 species